GACGCUCGACCAACUGAGCCACCCAGGCGCCAACCCCCCGCCCCUCCGUAUUUAUACUCUUAAAGAUCACGUAGGCUAUAGUGGAUGAAAGAAUGGAUUGAGGUGCAACCGAAGAUGGCAAGAGACCAGUUAUAAGGAUACUGCAACAGCCCGGUGUUGAAGAGAUUUUGUGUCUCCAGGGAGUCGGAGUGACUUGAUAUCUCAGAGCAGUUCUGCAGUGUGUAUGCAGUGGUUCUUCAUGGAGCGCGGUGAGUCCUAUGAGCAGACAGAGAACAAGAGCAUAUUAGGUAAGUGACUUGACGGAGAAGCUUGAGGGGAGGAUACGGCUAAGUCUUCUUCCGUGUGGAAAGCCAGAAAGGCUACUGAUAGAGCCAAAGACUUGCUCCAGGUUGGAAGUUCAAAUAAUCUUGCCAUUCAAAGAGAGAAUGCUCUCUUCGGCAGCACCUGUACAAAUAACUGUGAGAGAAAGCGUUCCUCUGGUUUUUAUCGUCUCCUGAAAUUCAGCUUACGUAUAAUUCACAUGGAAUUCCUUGACCACGACUAUGAGGUGUAUGUAGGAGUCCAGCCUCCUCCACUUUCGUGCGGCCACAGAGCACAAAAAUGGGAACAGGCGUUCCUCAGGUCAUACUGCCAGAUAAAACUCACUCAAGACCAAAGUGGCUUUGUCGCCGAAACCAGAGCAACAAUAGGAAUCCUGAGAAGAAACACACACACACACACACACACACACACACACAGAAAGAAUGAAGUCAUUUGAGGGAAAGGAAUAAAAGAAGAAAAGGGUUAUACAAGGAGUUAUACAAGGGGAGACAGAAUACAGCUCUGACUCACACAAUAAUUAACUCACUCUGAAUAAUAUCAGAGUUCUGAACUUGGUUUUGAACACGAAUAUAGCUUUUAUUUGUACAGUGGGGGUAGUUGUUCCCCCCCCCUUCACUAUUUCCUUUACCCUUCAGGUUAAUUAUUCCCUCAAGGAACACAAAAUUAUUUUCUCUUGUUUUCUGGGAAAGUGCUUGUGCUCACUCUUCCCUCAGGAUCUGUUGAAUAAGUUAGUACCCGAUGAAAGAUAGUAGCAGGUGACUACACGGGCACUGAUAAAUAAUUGAGUAUUUUAGUUAGAGCUCUUCUCAGAGACUCAUGAUCUUCUUUCUAGAGAUCAGCUGAAGUGCAGCCCUCUCAUUUUACAUAGGAGGAAUUGGGCAUGGAAAGAUGAAGCAAUUUUCCCAAAUCCACAGAGCUACUUCGUGGCAGAUCUAGGCCUGCAACUUUGGGGUCAGGUGUCUCCGAGGCUGUGCUGUCUCGUUCGAAUGCAGCGAAUCAGCCACAGCGCCCAUAAUUGAGAGCUUCUUCUGGCCGGGAGGGUACCUUCUCCACCUCUCACGACAAAUCUUUAAAGGAGGCCUUAUCACUCCCAUUUCCCAGGUCUUCAAGUCAUGGCAGAGACAAAAGCCUUGGCAACUGGGUAACUCCCUGAACGAUAAUCCAGUGUUGGAUCUCCUGACUCUACCAUAUAUCAGUGGAUGGCCACGGGCAAGUUGCUGAACUUCUCUGAGCCUCAGGUUUCUCAUCUGCUUUCGGAAUAAGUGCAGGGAGAAGAAGGUGAAAAGAGUUGGAACUGACAAUAAAACUCCAGCGCCCUGGAGAGGGGGCCUUCCUGGAAGCUACAUAAGUCUCCCUGAUGGAAGGAAAUCUUAGCGACUUUGGAAACGACUCAAGUUUGCUGUCAUGUUCACAUGUGGUGGUCGUGACGGUCAGGGCCAGGGGGAGGCUGCACCUUAGUGAACAGCUUGGGUGAAUGAGGGCUGUACUAAACUCACCGAUGUGAGAAAUGCCAAGUUUUCCAGAUAAUAGGUGGCACCUUAGAUGUCAGAGUCCACUGCAAAUAAUAGUUCGUGCUCAGUUAGUUAUGGGUACUAAGUAAAUAUUAAUAGAAACUGAUAAGAUCAUGAUUUGGAGAAAAACAGAAGAGCAGUAAGUAGAUUGUGACAAGUUGCUGUGUAAUUACCUUUCAUCUUUUGGGGUAAAGGAGAACUGAAUAAAGCCACUCAUGUUA